rnacentral:rRNA from 1 species
UAAGGAAUAUUGGUCAAUGGGGGCAACCCUGAACCAGCCAUGCCGCGUGCAGGAAGACGGCCCUACGGGUUGUAAACUGCUUUUAUACGGGAAUAAUUCCCCGAACGUGUUCGGGGUUGAAUGUACUGUAAGAAUAAGGAUCGGCUAACUCCGUGCCAGCAGCCGCGGUAAUACGGAGGAUCCGAGCGUUAUCCGGAUUUAUUGGGUUUAAAGGGUGCGUAGGCGGCUUUUUAAGUCAGGGGUGAAAGACGGUGGCUCAACCAUCGCAGUGCCUUUGAUACUGAGGAGCUAGAUUACACUAGAGGUAGGCGGAAUGUGACAAGUAGCGGUGAAAUGCAUAGAUAUGUCACAGAACACCGAUUGCGAAGGCAGCUUACUAUGGUGUCAAUGACGCUGAGGCACGAAAGCGUGGGGAUCAAACAGG